rnacentral:lncRNA from 1 species
GGAGACUGUAAAACAAGCAGCUUUCCGAAUCGAAAUCAGCAACAGCCUUUCUGCCGAGGGCGGUUCGAGUCUUUAAGGAGUGCCCUUCAAAUCAAGGAAGAUGACUACCCCUCUCCUACAAGGCGGCCAUCACCAACCAUUGCUGAACUGAUUGGAACCAGAUAUGCCGUGAUGUCUGAAAUGGAGGGAUCCCGCCAAAGAGAUGGUUGUGCGAUAUCUUCAAGAGCCAGGGUCUGUUUCCAUUGCCAUAAGCAGAUGGUCUUUCUGUGGCCUUACAGAUGUCAUCUCUGUAGCAGGUAAGCUGGUGUAGAAGGACUUUAUGGGGCGGAAGAAAGAAUCAUAAAAACUACUCUAAAUUGUCCAAUUGCAGCACUCCAUGGAGCAAGUUGUUUAUCCCUUUAAUUUUGCCUGAAGAGUUGGGCUCUAUCGUAACUGUUUUCUCAUGGUUAUGGGUGAAGGGAAGACUGUCACUUUGUAGUGUCUUAGUUUAUUAAUUCUUAAAAUUCAUGAAAGAUAAUUAAAUUCUUACCCUUCAAGAACCAUGCUUGUUCCCCUGUGCUUGACACUGCAAAGGUGGAAUCUGAUCGUCCCCAAAGUCCUGGGGCAGAGGUUGGCUUGGUUCUAGAUCAGGUCCUAGGCAAAUGCUCCAAGUCAGGAUCUUAUGGAUGGACUUCGAAAUUAUCUGAAUCCUUCAGUGACUUGGAGCAGGUUGAGACCCCCUCUAUUCGCUCAUAAACUGUAAGAUUUGUUCAUGGGGCGGAAACAAAUCUGGGGCCUGUUAUAAACUUAGUCAUUUUAACUAAAUUUGAGGCAGAAGUAGUUCGUUAACCGUGGGUCGUCCAGCAGCGAUCAAACACCCUGUGAUUUGGUGACCCAGUCACAUAGCACUAGUACUGAAUUCUG